rfam:Gossypium arboreum cultivar AKA8401 contig_23937_5, whole genome shotgun sequence.
CGGAUCCCAUCAGAACUCUGCAGUUAAGCGUGCUUGGGCGAGAGUAGUACUAGGAUGGGUGCCCUCCUGGGAAGUCCUCGUGUUGCACCCC